UGUGACAUCCAGUUGUCGGUAAACGAUCGAGCUUGUUGUACGAAGCUCAGCGUUCGUUUUCUGCACGGUUCCCGCACCGUUGGGCAAUUAGCAAGAUAACGUGGCCGAAGCGAACGCAAAUACGAAAUAAUUCCUGCAAUUAUGAGCACGACACGCCUAACGUAAACUUCAGAAUGCUAAAUCGUUAAUGACACGUGAUGGUUGGGAGUAAUUGCGAUCUACUCGUUACUUGUCUAGUUAAAUCGCCAAACUUCGUCGAGUCGGUUACACGACAAGGUCUAAAUUAAUCCUUCGUUACAAGUGCAGACAUACCUCACACGGUCUUAGAUCGUAGAUGAUUAAAAACGAUUUGCUCUACGCAUUCUUAUGUCGUCCACCACGCGAAAGGAUAUUGCCCCGUUAAGGAAUAUAUAAAUAAACAAUUAAACGCAUCGGCAGGUAACGGAGUUUUAUGGAACGAGGCAACGAUAAGCGGCCGUGUCUGCGACCCAAGACAAAGAGUUUCCCAUGCGAGCGGCAGGUUUUUCAGCCGGGUGGCCAGAUAGACGCUUCCACUUCCUUCGGCUGACAAUGGAAGGCUUUCAGCCACGAGUGUGCCGGAUAAUUCAUGUCGGGAUGAGCAAUUAAGACCUAACCCACGCGCACCUUCGCUUCUAAUUAUCCUGCUUGACGUACUUACACCCGUGCGCUCGGGCAUCGGCCAUUAUCAACGUGGAUAACGAAAGGGAAUCGCGACAGCGGCUGGCGAGAUCCAUACGAUUGCAUUUCAUUUCUGGGCAUCGGGUUUCACUCGGUGUCGCGCGUACGUUGUCGUAGGAGAUUUCAUUACCUGUUAACUGCUUCACUGAAAGCUGGGAGGGAGUGAUUUUCCCGCGCUUGGCGUAACGGAUCCGAUAGCGCGCUGGAAGCAUACCGGAAUCGACCAAGUUGGGAAGAAGUCGAGGAAGUUUUACGUUGCGAGUGCAAGAGAUCAGCAAAAUUGGACAUUAUUAAAAGUAUAACGUAGAAAGAGAAUCAUUUAACCAUAAGAUAAUCAUUAAAUAAUAAAGUGCUGUUUCUAAUCAUUCAGAACAUUGAGGCGAAUUGAAAUACUACUUUAAAAGUACGUCUAUAUGAAAAUCAACGCACGAAAAUCAAUGGACAAUAACAAGUGAACGAAAUUGAUGAGCAGAAACAGAGGAAGGUGGAAGUUCAAUUUAAUGAAAAUAAUAUAUAAUAUGAAUGAGAAAUGAAACAGAGAAAAUUAAAGAAAAUUGAUAAGAUAAUCAAACGAAAGUAAUGUAUGAAAGUACUGAUCGAAUACGAAGUGAUGGAAAAAUGAAUUGAUUGAGAGGAAUGAUUAGAAUGAAAAGAACGAAAGGAAUGACGAGAUUUCAUUACUUGUUAAUUAGACCUCUGAAAAGGUAGAAGGGAAUGAUUUUCCCGCGUAACGUAUCCGGUAACGCGCUAGACAUACGAAAAGCUUAUAAAUCUUUGUUUAAUAAAUAACGGCGAAGCGAUUCACGA